GAUCCUGGCUCAGGAUGAACGCUAGCGACAGGCUUAACACAUGCAAGUCGAGGAGCGGCAUGAUUUGUAGCAAUACAGAUUGAUGGCGACCGGCGCACGGGUGAGUAACGCGUAUGCAACUUACCUAUCAGAGGGGGAUAGCCCGGCGAAAGUCGGAUUAAUACCCCAUAAAACAGGGGUCCCGCAUGGGAAUAUUUGUUAAAGAUUCAUCGCUGAUAGAUAGGCAUGCGUU
rnacentral:rRNA from 1 species